GCCUGGUUGGCUCAGUUAGUUGAGCAUCCGACUGUGGCUCAGGUCAUGAUCUCACAGUUUGUGGGUUUGAGCCCCACAUUAGGCU
rnacentral:tRNA from 1 species